UCGAGCGGUAGAGAGGAGCUUGCUUCUCUUGAGAGCGGCGGACGGGUGAGUAAUGCCUAGGAAUCUGCCUAGUGGUGGGGGAUAACGUUCGGAAACGGACGCUAAUACCGCAUACGUCCUACGGGAGAAAGCGGGGGAUCUUCGGACCUCGCGCCAUUAGAUGAGCCUAGGUCGGAUUAGCUAGUUGGUGAGGUAAUGGCUCACCAAGGCGACGAUCCGUAACUGGUCUGAGAGGAUGAUCAGUCACACUGGAACUGAGACACGGUCCAGACUCCUACGGGAGGCAGCAGUGGGGAAUAUUGGACAAUGGGCGAAAGCCUGAUCCAGCCAUGCCGCGUGUGUGAAGAAGGUCUUCGGAUUGUAAAGCACUUUAAGUUGGGAGGAAGGGCAGUAACCUAAUACGUUAUUGUUUUGACGUUACCGACAGAAUAAGCACCGGCUAACUUCGUGCCAGCAGCCGCGGUAAUACGAAGGGUGCAAGCGUUAAUCGGAAUUACUGGGCGUAAAGCGCGCGUAGGUGGUUCAGUAAGUUGGAAGUGAAAUCCCCGGGCUCAACCUGGGAACUGCUUUCAAAACUGCUGAGCUAGAGUACGGUAGAGGGUGGUGGAAUUUCCUGUGUAGCGGUGAAAUGCGUAGAUAUAGGAAGGAACACCAGUGGCGAAGGCGACCACCUGGACUGAUACUGACACUGAGGUGCGAAAGCGUGGGGAGCAAACAGGAUUAGAUACCCUGGUAGUCCACGCCGUAAACGAUGUCAACUAGCCGUUGGGAGUCUUGAACUCUUAGUGGCGCAGCUAACGCAUUAAGUUGACCGCCUGGG
rnacentral:rRNA from 1 species